ACCUCGGGCCAUUGCAUCAGUAGCGGCGAGUGAAGCGGCAAGAGCUCAGAUUUGAAAUCUCAUCAUUCGUGGUGCGAGUUGUAAAUUGCAGGUUGGAGUCUCGGUUUAGACGUGUGUGCAAGUCCCUUGGAACAGGGCGCCACUGAGGGUGAGAGCCCCGUAGUGUGCACGAUCGACGCUGUGAGGCCCUUCUGACGAGUCGAGUUGUUUGGGAAUGCAGCUCUAAGUGGGUGGUAAAUUCCAUCUAAGGCUAAAUAUUGGCGAGAGACCGAUAGCGAACAAGUACUGUGAAGGAAAGAUGAAAAGCACUUUGAAAAGAGAGUGAAACAGCACGUGAAAUUGUUGAAAGGGAAGGGUAUUGGGCUCGACAUGGGAUUUACGCAUCGUUGCCUCUCGUGGGCGGCGCUCUGGGUUUUUCCUGGGCCAGCAUCGGUUUUUGUUGCAGGAUAAGGACCUUUGGAAUGUGGCUCCCUCGGGAGUGUUAUAGCCAUUGGUAGAUGCUGCAUAUGGGGACCGAGGGCUGCGGCGGACUUGUUUUGUCUCGGAUGCUGGCACAACGGCGCAAUACCGCCCGUCUGAACCAAGGAACAAUUUUGUUG
rnacentral:rRNA from 1 species